GAGUUUGAUCUUCGCUCAGAAGGAACGCUAGUUAUAUGCUUAACACAUGCAAGUCGAACGUUGUUUCCGGGGAGCUGGGCAGAAGGAAAAGAGGCUCCUGGCUAAAGUUGUCUCGCCCUGCUUCAAAACUACAGGGUGCGCACUAUGGCUUUGACCUAACGGCCUCCUUUUGCUGGAAUCGGAAUAGUUGAGAACAAAGUGGUGAAUGGGUGCGUAACGCGUGGGAAUCUGCCGAACAGUUCGGGCCAAAUCCUGAAGAAAGCUUAAAAGCGCUGUUUGAUGAGCCUGCGUAGUAUUAGGUAGUUGGUCAGGUAAAGGCUGACCAAGCCAAUGAUGCUUAGCUGGUCUUUUCAGAUGAUCAGCCACACUCAGACUAAGACAUGUCCCAGACUCCCACGGGGGGCAGGAGUGGGGAAUCUUGGACAAGGGCGAAAGCCCGAUCCAGCAAUAUCGCGUGAGUGAAGAAGGGCAAUGCUGCCCAUAUUUAAAAUGGUCAGCCUGUGCAGCAGAAAAAAAGGCGCUCUAAUCGUACUCG
rnacentral:ncRNA from 1 species